rnacentral:rRNA from 1 species
GGCGAACGCUGGCGGCGUGCUUAACACAUGCAAGUCGAACGGAAAGGCCCUGCUUUUGUGGGGUGCUCGAGUGGCGAACGGGUGAGUAACACGUGAGUAACCUGCCCUUGGCUUUGGGAUAACUUCAGGAAACUGGGGCUAAUACCGGAUAGGAGCUCCUGCUGCAUGGUGGGGGUUGGAAAGUUUCGGCGGUUGGGGAUGGACUCGCGGCUUAUCAGCUUGUUGGUGGGGUAGUGGCUUACCAAGGCUUUGACGGGUAGCCGGCCUGAGAGGGUGACCGGCCACAUUGGGACUGAGAUACGGCCCAGACUCCUACGGGAGGCAGCAGUGGGGAAUAUUGCACAAUGGGCGGAAGCCUGAUGCAGCAACGCCGCGUGCGGGAUGACGGCCUUCGGGUUGUAAACCGCUUUCGCCUGUGACGAAGCGUGAGUGACGGUAAUGGGUAAAGAAGCACCGGCUAACUACGUG